AGUGAACGCUGGCGGUAGGCCUAACACAUGCAAGUCGAACGGCAGCACAGUAAGAGCUUGCUCUUACGGGUGGCGAGUGGCGGACGGGUGAGGAAUACAUCGGAAUCUACUUUUUCGUGGGGGAUAACGUAGGGAAACUUACGCUAAUACCGCAUACGACCUACGGGUGAAAGCAGGGGAUCUUCGGACCUUGCGCGAUUGAAUGAGCCGAUGUCGGAUUAGCUAGUUGGCGGGGUAAAGGCCCACCAAGGCGACGAUCCGUAGCUGGUCUGAGAGGAUGAUCAGGCACACUGGAACUGGGACACGGUCCAGACUCCUACGGGAGGCAGCAGUGGGGAAUAUUGGACAAUGGGCGCAAGCCUGGUCCAGCCAUACCGCGUGGGUGAAGAAGGCCUUCGGGUUGUAAAGCCCUUUUGUUGGGAAAGAAAAGCAGCAGGUUAAUACCCCGCUGUUCUGACGGUACCCAAAGAAUAAGCACCGGCUAACUUCGUG
rnacentral:rRNA from 1 species